rnacentral:rRNA from 1 species
CGGGACACGUGGUAUCCUGUCUGAAUAUGGGGGGACCAUCCUCCAAGGCUAAAUACUCCUGACUGACCGAUAGUGAACCAGUACCGUGAGGGAAAGGCGAAAAGAACCCCGGCGAGGGGAGUGAAAAAGAACCUGAAACCGUGUACGUACAAGCAGUGGGAGCACGCUUAGGCGUGUGACUGCGUACCUUUUGUAUAAUGGGUCAGCGACUUAUAUUCUGUAGCAAGGUUAACCGAAUAGGGGAGCCGAAGGGAAACCGAGUCUUAACUGGGCGUUAAGUUGCAGGGUAUAGACCCGAAACCCGGUGAUCUAGCCAUGGGCAGGUUGAAGGUUGGGUAACACUAACUGGAGGACCGAACCGACUAAUGUUGAAAAAUUAGCGGAUGACUUGUGGCUGGGGGUGAAAGGCCAAUCAAACCGGGAGAUAGCUGGUUCUCCCCGAAAGCUAUUUAGGUAGCGCCUCGUGAAUUCAUCUCCGGGGGUAGAGCACUGUUUCGGCAAGGGGGUCAUCCCGACUUACCAACCCGAUGCAAACUGCGAAUACCGGAGAAUGUUAUCACGGGAGACACACGGCGGGUGCUAACGUCCGUCGUGAAGAGGGAAACAACCCAGACCGCCAGCUAAGGUCCCAAAGUCAUGGUUAAGUGGGAAACGAUGUGGGAAGGCCCAGACAGCCAGGAUGUUGGCUUAGAAGCAGCCAUCAUUUAAAGAAAGCGUAAUAGCUCACUGGUCGAGUCGGCCUGCGCGGAAGAUGUAACGGGGCUAAACCAUGCACCGAAGCUGCGGCAGCGACGCUGAUGCGUUGUUGGGUAGGGGAGCGUUCUGUAAGCCUGUGAAGGUGUGCUGUGAGGCAUGCUGGAGGUAUCAGAAGUGCGAAUGCUGACAUAAGUAACGAUAAAGCGGGUGAAAAGCCCGCUCGCCGGAAGACCAAGGGUUCCUGUCCAACGUUAAUCGGGGCAGGGUGAGUCGACCCCUAAGGCGAGGCCGAAAGGCGUAGUCGAUGGGAAACAGGUUAAUAUUCCUGUACUUGGUGUUACUGCGAAGGGGGGACGGAGAAGGCUAUGUUGGCCGGGCGACGGUUGUCCCGGUUUAAGCGUGUAGGCUGGUUUUCCAGGCAAAUCCGGAAAAUCAAGGCUGAGGCGUGAUGACGAGGCACUACGGUGCUGAAGCAACAAAUGCCCUGCUUCCAGGAAAAGCCUCUAAGCAUCAGGUAACAUCAAAUCGUACCCCAAACCGACACAGGUGGUCAGGUAGAGAAUACCAAGGCGCUUGAGAGAACUCGGGUGAAGGAACUAGGCAAAAUGGUGCCGUAACUUCGGGAGAAGGCACGCUGAUAUGUAGG